GUUUGUAUCAAUAAAAUGUUAUAAAGCAUUGUGGUGCCGGCCGGCUUUUGCGCUGACGCCACUACGGCCAGUUGGGCGCAUACAGUCCCUUUCAUGAAGCACGUGAGAUACCCGCUGACUACCGCGCGGUACGGUCCCCCGUAGGUGGCCGACAAACGACCUACGCACAAUAUUUAAGCGUCUGUAAUAAUUUCAUUUUUCAAUGUUCGAUUGCCAUUCCAAUCUGAUAUAAAUUGUGUUCAUAUUUUUUUGUCGCGUUUUAUUUUUUGUUGCAGUGGCGGCAUUUUUAUUAUCAUAGUGAUCAAAAUUUACUAAAUUUCACGAGUCAAUCGGAUUUUGUGGACAUGAUAAAAGUUAUAUGAAAAAACUUUCUAAGUACGGCAGCGCAUUGGCUCCAGAAAAAAGCUGCUGUAUAGAAUCAAAAACGCCACAGGAAGAUGUGCAUGGAAAGGAUAAAAUGAUGUUAUUCGAUUUUAACAUUGUAAUAUUCUUCAUUGAAUUAUGGAAAAGCGAAAAGUGAUAACAACUCGUUGACUGAAUUAUUAUUCGUGUAUUCAGCACACAAGAGAUAAUGAAACGGACCUGAAAACAUCAACUAACAACAAGAACACUUAUGUCUGACAAUAGUCAUUUUUAUACAGCUUUUUUCACUGGCUUGAUACUGUUAAAGUUUUAUUUAAAAUAACUUUUCUACAUUUUUGCAAUUUUAUUUAUUAAAAUAAACUUUAUAUCAAUGAAAAUAACCAAAAUAUUUAUCACAAAAAUGUGUCUUAUCAUAAUCUUAAAAAAUAAUGUCCACUAAGGUUAUAAUAUUUUACACCAUUUCAAAUUAAUUAGAAAAAAAAUAAUGUCGCAACAGUAAUAUAUGUAUUUUUUUAUAGUUAAUUUAUCUUGGAUAAUACGGCCGUUGGCUACAUUAUAUUAUAUUUGUUUAUAUAGUUAUUAUUAUUGUGUCUAUAUUUCUAAUAAUAACAAUUUUGCUCUAGAACAUGAUUACAUUCAGAUAAUGAUUAUACGUGUAUACGUACAUCAUAUAUUUUCUUGUUUACUGAUUGCUCGAUUUCGUAAAAAUUAUAUUCUGGG